rnacentral:lncRNA from 1 species
GUCCUAAAUAGGAGCAGUCCUGGGCCGCUAUCCUGUGAGGGUGGAGACGCUCCCCGAGACUGGACAGACACCGAGAGGUGGAGCUGAGCUAAUACGAGGCUAAGGGAAUUCCAUGUAUUCCAGUUAUCCUGAGCUCACGUACAGCAGAGGAUACCCCCGAGCUUCACCGCCAUCUCUUACUAGGAUUCCAGGAUCCCUUUCAAGGCUUCUACCUGGAGCAACUGCCCACAGUUCUGCCUUAAGAGUGCCUGAGAGACCUGGCAUCUCACAGCCUGCCCUCCAAAUCAUCACUCACUCUGCCAGGCACACCGGGUCUUCCUCCUCUUACUCGCCGCACCAAAGAAAUCAAAACCCAAACUGAGAAUACUAGAAAGCAUCACCGUACAGCACGGAAAGAAAUAAUGAAAACAAACCAACAGCCACACACUUGGACUCACCCAGACCCAGGAGCCAGGAGUGUGGGUGAUUGUCAAGUUUGGGGAGGGGUCAGCUCUUGGCUGGCCCAUCCCUCCCUUCUUCCCUCUUUCCGGGACUUGAAUGGGGUAGAGAAUUCAGAUUCUCCUUGGGAAUCUCAGCCCUCCUGCCCCAUUACAUCCCACCCCUUCUGCUUAUGUAGAGGCAGACAGGGUAGAACAAGGAGCUCCCAGCCUCUUAGGAGAGCCUACAUUCCCCCACAGGGGUUCCAGAGAGUUAGGUAAAAAUAGAGAGAGAGAGAUUUAGAUACUUUUCCAUCAUUUCUGUCUCUCCAAACAAAUAAAUAACGAGCAAGAGAA